AUUAAAUUUAUCAGUUGCUCUGACUUCUCAAAAUCGCGCAGCUUCUACUGUGUGAAACCGAUUGCUUAAAGCAAGCUCAAUAGCACCUUGCCACUGAUAUUAUUCAAUCUGUGACCUGCACAUUUCUUGGAACAUGUUUAAAUACUGAGAGUUUAACAAGAGAAGAGUUCCUAGAUGUCCAUAAAAAAGGGUGAACUGUGGCCCUGUGUGCUAAGAAUAUGCACCAUUUAGCAACUUGUUGAUGUAGUUAAACUCAUUGUGGAUUUAACUCUUAAUAACACAUGUUUGUAUGAAGAACACUUGAAAAUGACAAGUUGAAUAAACAGUCAACUUUUUAAUUGAGAAGCACAAAAUUAAGUAGUUUUAAGAAGCAAGAAUCCUGACAGAUUUUUGUAGCAUUUUUUAAAACUAGCACCUCUAUUCUGGGCAUUCAUGUUCUCUAAUGGAGAUCAGGCACAUAUUCAAAGUGGUUUUAUAGGUACAUUUCCUUACAUUGAAUAGGCACAAUGGAUUUUAAACAGUUUCAUAGCAACGGAUGGUUCAUGAUGGCCAUUAACCUAGAUAAGUGAAUUUCAGUUUGUUGCAUCCUUAAUGGUCUGUGGGUAAAAAAAUCUUUCUCUUCAUCUGUUUCUAAGAAUUUUAUUGUAAUUUUUCUUUCACAAUUGUAUUUUACAGAGCAGAUUCAUGUGAAUUUUUGCAAUCAGGAGAAAAAAAAAAAAAAGCAUUCAAGAAAAGGUAAGAAGAACAUUUACAACCAAAGAAAUGUACAUUUCUCUGGAAUUUAGUACUGAUAGCAUAGCCUAGCAAGUAAUCAAAACUUUUGAAAAGUUGAGUACGCACCUUGACAUCAGCUUAAAAUGCAUUCCUAAAGAUUUUCAGAUGAUUGUUCCUAUACCUGUUGAAACAGAGCCAGCUGGACUUCAGAAAUGCGGCCUGAUGUUUGAUUUCUGGUACGCCGCUCCUUGGUGCUGCUGGGACAUACCAUAUCUAUCGCUUCUGGAAAAGAACGCCCUGCCCACAACACACUGCUACUGCCAGGGCAGAGGAGGAAAGCCCCAUGACAGCCGAUGGAGUUACUGCCAAGCCCUGAGAAGGGCAAGACCCAGGACCUGGGAUUUUGUGAUUAAGGCCAGGUGCCGUGAACCUGGGCCUGGGCAGCUGUGCUGGCAGAGCCCCCUAGCAGAGCUGCAGCGCUGGCUGCGGGAGGACAGCUGUAAAUCUCAGAGGAAGUUGCACCAUCUCUCCUCGUGACAAAGGCUUGGCAGAAGUGCCUCACCCACCCUGCUCACGGAGGCAGAACAGGCAGAGCCGUUGUGUCAACACAGCAUGUGCACAGGGGGCUGUGACUUCCCUGCCCUGCACAGAGGCCUGGCACGGUGCAGGCAUUUGGGAAGAACCCAGCAGCACAUGCGUAGGCUGAGGGACAUUCCCAUAUUCUCCUAGAUUACUAAAUGGCAGCAUGAGCUGUGUUUUGAAAGUACUGCUUCAGUGUACUGGGAUUUUAAGUUCUUUACAGAGAGAGUGGUGAGGUGCUGGAACAGGCUGCCCAGAGAGGUUGUGGAUGCUCUGUCCCUGGAAGUGUUGAAGGCCAGAUUGGAUGGGGUCCUGUGCAGCCUGGUUCUAGUAUUACAUGGGUGUUGGUGGCCCUGCAUGUGGCAGGGGGGUUGGAGAUUUAUGUUCCUUGAGGUCCUUUCCAACCCUGGCCAUUCUGUGAUUCUGUGAUGUAUUACAUGGUAUCUUGGUCUGUCUGCACAUAGUGCGUAUUUGCAUGAACCUUAAUGAGAAUGACAAAAGUAAGAAGCAAGUUUAAAGAAAAUUGGAUUAAAUGACUUAAUUCUCCACAGUUGAAGACUUUAAAUUUUAAUCAAGUCUUGAGUCUGAGACUAAUAACUUAGAGUGAAUGUUUAAAAUGACUGAAAUCUAAAACUAAACAUGUAUAUCUAAUGUGCAUUAGCACUGAUGUGUUUGCAUAGCAGCAGUUCCCUAAAGUGUGCACAUUGGCAUGACAGAUUUUGAAGGCCAGCAUAGGCUUUGCGUAAAGCUCUGGAUUGGGGUUCACUGUGUUUUGGCCAAGCUGUGCCUCAGCCGUUAUUCUGUGCUCAUGCAAACCCCGAGGCCUGUGUGCUGUGGAGCACCUUAAUGAAACACUUUGGUGAUUAUGUUCACAAAGAUGGGGCACUGCAGUGCCAACUCUAGCCAUGCUUAAUGUGCAGAACAGACAAAAGGCUGUUAAAUUCUCUGCUGUCCACCUGAAAUACAAUCUUUACAGAAGAAAACAACAGCAACAACAACAAAACCCAAACCAAACAAACAAGCAAACAAACAAAAACAUGGGACAGAUGGUUUGGAUUCCAGUCUGUUAGGCCUCUUGCCACAAGGCCCUUUGACCUCUUGAGUACUUGAGACUUGAUAAUAACAUAAAGUCUCUGGAUUUCAAAGCUUCUUUCAUUUGCAGGUUUUUUUCCACAUGGCUCCUGUAGGUUGGAGGGACUUUGCAUUAGUCCGAAAUAGAUUGCUGAUGGACAGUGGAACUUCUGAACCCCAGAUCCCUGCAGCUAGCUCAUGCCAUACUUAAGAUCCUUCUCACACAGGGUUCUUCUCACAGGAACACUGCACCUUACGUACAGAAUCUACUUAUCAACAGUUAAAUCACCUUGCAGAGUGAGGCUCCUGGUUUAUGUGCUGUGCAACGUGGGGGCAGGACCCACGAGUUUAAAAGCAGAGGCAAGGACCUUUGUCACAGUGGCUGUGCCCUUGUGGCUCUGCUUGCCUGAUGCAUCAGAGACAAACAUGCAACUCCCCAUGUCCUGGCCAGCUUGGAAACUUGGCUGCUGAGCAGAAGACAGCCUCACAUAUAGUAAAGGUAGGUAUCAUUUAUCCCCUGGUAGCUCUGCCUUGUUAAGUGAUAAAAACAGUUCAUUAACAUGAACUAUGGCAUUGUGAGGUGAUUGAGGAGAACACCAAUGCAGGACCAAGAGCAAGGGCUGGGAGAAAUGUGGUCGUACUGCUCCAGUGCUGGUAGGGACCCUUAUCUUUACUCAGGACUUUCGGUGUGUCUGUGCUGAGUGAUGCCUUAGCUUUGAAUUCACUGCUCGUGUUGGAAAAGAUGAUUCUAUCAUUACAAGGAAAACCUCGUUGUUAGUCUUAGGUCUAUAUGAAAGCUCCUCCUGUAACCCACUCCUCUGCUCUGGUGGACACAUGUAUUAUCAUUGCUUCCAUAUAACUCAUCUGGACAUGUGUCUAUAUUUUCACCCUUCCCAUUCCUGUUGUGCCAUGCUUAUGAUAUGGUAUCACAGAUGCAACCCAUCAUUAUGUGACUCACGCUGCAAGUCAAUGCAUGUAACCACAGGCAUGCAGAGUGUGAAUAGAUAUCAGGCACUGAUACUAUUAUAGCUUACUCUGCAGUUUGCUCAUGUACUGGCUGUUGGGAGCAGUAAAUGCCCUACCUCAGUGUGGAAUAUACCUGCACUGCCUACAGAGACCACAUGCACAACUCCAGGUAAGUUUAGGACCUGAUCAUGAGUUGUCCACAGCAAAGCAUCGGAAACCAGGUGAUGUCAUCAGCCAAAGGGAUCCACUUUCUCAAACUGGCUAACAAGAACAAGCAGAUACAUGUUAUGUUUUGCUCUGAUAUAAUAAGCACUGUGAAGAUAUUAGCUGUUUUCUGAUUGAGUAAAGGUGUGUACUACACAUAAAACUCCAGCAAACAAAAUUGUUCUGAAAUUAUCUAACUAGGAUGUCACUGCAAAGGGAAAUGGCAUAUUCCAUAUAUUCCAAUAUAUUCCAAUAUUCCAUUCAGGGGAGGGCAGUUGAGCUCUUAAUCCAAUAACAAGCUCAUUCUUAUUUGUGCCUUCACUACCUGGAAGCAGAGGGCAGCACACAUCUGUGCUUGAGAUAGGUCUGGUGCUGUGGGACAUUUGGAGUCAUAGAGAUACAGCUGGCACAGCUGGCUCUAUCCUUCCCACUUGCCAGCAAGCUCACUGCUCUCUUCAUGAGACGAAGGAACUUGUUGACCACUUCCCCAGUGCUGAUGCAGAGCUGGAUAAUUGCAGUGGUUACUGUGGUUAGACUGUAGUGUAUUUUUUCAUACUCUCCUUGUGAAAUGUUGCAGCUCAACCCACCUUUUACUCCUGGCAGAUGAUAGAUGUGCAGGCUGUACAAAUGGGUGCAGCAGGAGUCAACUUACGUUUUUUUUUCCUUCACAACUAGGUUGUAUUCUUCACCUUGUGUGAACCAGCAGGGCAGCAAAGUAGGCAGUGAGUCUGAUACAAUCGGGUCAGAUUUAGCAUUUAAUUUAUCCUCUCAUACUCAAUAACAUUCUCUGAUUACUGAGUUGAAAUAAACAAGAAUCAAUGACAAGCAAACAAAGGAUCAGUGAUCUUGUAAUUUUUGUUUUGUUUGUUUUGUAUUUUGCUGAUAUUUUUUGAUACAAAUCUUAAGGCAAAUAUUAAGAAAGAAACAGAAGGAACAAAAUAUAUGCUUUGAAUGUUGUUACUAAACAACCUCAGGAUUAUUAUUUUUUAAUAACUUUCUUAAAGUAGACAAUUUCAAUGUCUCUCUUAGUUUAGUUAUAGCACAAAAUGAACUAAGGAACUGAUAAUGUGUAAGUUCUGUACCAAAGCCUGCUAUUAGUUGUUCAGAACAUGACUGCUGAAGAGCAAACUGUCCAAUAUGCCAAACUUCAGGGAGAUUUAGAUUAAAAAAAACAAUUCUACAAAGCACAGAAAUCAAUUUUCAUUUGAAAAAUGUGCUUUGAACAAUGCCAAAGAUCAAAAGAAUUUCAAAAGUCUUGUUUGUAGAAGGGAUAAAUACAUCCCUCUUCUCUCCUUUGUCACCUUUUGCUUCCACUGAACCUGGAAAACUUUUUGACCAAAUUAUUUGGCUUACUUGCUCCAAUGCAGAAUUUCACUGUAGCAUGUUGCUGCAAGUGCCGCUCACUCAGCAUGGUUGAUCCAGCCAGUAGUUAGACCCAGAAGCUGAGAGGGAUUCUGUGUCAAUUAGCACAAUUUCAGCAAGCUCAGCUGUUGGAAUUUUCCUUUGUAUAGGGCAGAGGAGGCGAUGGCACUCCUCACUCACUGGGUGUGAAGCUCAGGUAAGUCCUGUUGAUGAGGUACUUGAACAAACUCCUAAAAAAAAACACCUUUCAGCUGGAAUGUGGAAAAGAAACCAGAAGAAUGAGAAAACAGGAAUGCCUUUGCAAUAUUGGUAUGUAGUGCAAUGCUUUCUUUUCCUUUAUAAAGUGAUUAGCAUUCUGCUAAGGUCUUUAUUACAAUAGAAUCACAGAAUUACAGAAUCAUAGGGGUUGGAAGGGACCUAUGGGAACCAUCUAGCCCAAGCCCCCUGACAGAGCAGGUUCCCUAGAGUAGGUUGCACAGAUCUCUUUUUUAGCAGAUGACUUCAGGAUUAUGAUUAACAAUUCUCUGCCUCACGGAUAAAUCUUUCAAUGUAUGCUGAGGUUACAUUACCAACAUAAGGUUACAUUUGUUGUUUAUGGGUAGUUUACUUGGAAUGAAGUGCUUUACAGUGAUUUUGUAAGCCCUCAGAACACUUCUGGAAGUGUUAUUAAGCAGUGCUUAAGAAAUUCUGGAAACAAAGCAAAACUGGGCAGUGUACAAGCCAGUCUUUCUCUGUAUGGGAGAUUUCUCAGAAAUGGAAAGAAAUUCUGAAAGCAAUGGGUCAAAUGUUCUGUUGUCAUUGCUGUACUAUUCUGUUGGAAAUAACUUUCCUCAUUAGAAACAAAUGCAAAAUUUUGCAUGAAGCUUUUUCUCAGCUAAUUUAGAACAGGCUCUUUCAUGUGUUUAUUCCUAAAGGAUGCAAAACAUUUCUAUUGCAAUGAAAGAUGGAGUUGAUGAGUACCUUGCAAGACUGGGCCACCAUUACUUCAAGGAUGAUCCCAUAUUCUGGGGACCUCAGGAAGUGCACCAAUGCAGUCUACUCAGUGACUUGCUAAAUAAAUAAGUGCUAAAUCACAUCAACCUCUGCAAGAAGUCAGGAAAAAAUGGAAAAUGUGUCGCUGCUGUCAUCCCAAGUUUUGUUUGCAUUUAUUUACAUUAAAGCUGUUGUUUCUGUAGGACUUUUGAGGCUGAUUUUGUUCUUGUCUCUUCUGGGCUUCAAGAAUAUAUUGUAAGUACUAUGUCAAGUCUCAGUGUUGCUUGUAUUACAUCUACAUACUGCAAAAUCAUGUGGUCUGAAUUAUGCUCCUAGGAAAGCAUAUUAGCAUCUAAAGCCAUAAGUUUAUAAUUUUCAGUUUAGCCAUCAUGCAUUUUAAAUAUAUAUAUAUUAUUAUCAUUAUUAUUAUUUGCAUGUGUUAACAUUAGCUACUAGAAGAAAUAUUAAAAGGAUACAAAGCUUUGAAAGUCAAUCAGUAAAACACAAUUCUAGUAUUUUCUGGAUAGAAUUUGUGCAAUUUUUGCUUCCUUUGGGUUUGUGCAUUGCAAUCAGUCUUUAAUUAAGAGAACACAUACUUUGUUUUUGUACUUGCUGAUAGAUCUAUUCUCUUGAAAUUCUUUUAAGUCAGACACCUGGCAUGGAAACAUAGUUCAUAUAGAUGGCACAUUAAUGAGCCCAGUAUUUGAUUUUAUCUUUGUGUUCAUUGAGUGUCUAAUGCCGUAUUAAUUUCACAUUGUGCAAAGUUGGUUUAAUUCAGAAUUAUUUGUUUCCUUAUGACCAUUUCUUUUAUGGUCAUCAUUAGAGUAUCCAGCUGUUUCACAAGCAGUAAUGAACUUCUGACAUACUACUUUGCUGCAAUGAAGAGUAUUAUUAGUCCAAUUUUUUCAGAUAAUAAACUGAAGCAGAGGAAUAUAAAUAAUGACUAACUACAGAUUUUGGACACUGAGUAGGAAAAAAAUAAAACCACUAUCAUCAGAUUCUGGUGCAGUCUUUUGUUCAUGGCACAGUCCUCACUGAUGUAAUGUGUGAGGACCCAGUGCUCCUGCACAACAAAGGUACAGUCUUGAUUCAAAUGAAGAGAGCAAAAGUGAAGCAAAUGAAGUUUUAAGUACCUUGCCUCACACAGCAGCUCUGUCAGUCAGUGGCAGAUUUCAGGCCUCCAGGCCAGUGUUCAGCUGUCUUAACUAUGAAAUCAAUUUUUAUUUUACUGCAGUUUGUUCUCUUGAGUGGUACAUGCAUUCCACCUAGAGUUAGGGUGGAAAUUGCUUUCCAGUUCCUCGCACAUUUUCAGGUCUUUGGUAUCAGCCCAGCUUCACAAUGGGACGCUUGUUGAAACCCUUCAAGGACAUCCUGGGAGAACCAGAGCUGCUCAGCUGAGCCUGGGGAGGAAUCACAGGGUUGCUGGCCUUCUGGAGCUUGACCUCUUCCAUUCUGCUGCCUCAGCCAGCCUGCUUGCACUCUGUCUGGCCUAAUAGAGCACCUCUGUUUUAUGUGAAGAAGAAAGAACUCCUCCAGCUGUGUCAGAUCUGUCUCAUGUCCCUGCCGUGGGGCGAUGAGAAAUGUUCAUCAAAGGGGUGCUGCCCUGUGGGUGUCCGCAGUAAAAGGAGACUGAUGCCUUCCUCUCUGCUUCUCUGUUGCAGCCAGGGGUCAGAUCCACACCGCCUCAGCCUUGUUUCAUGUCCAGCUCUGGAGUCAGAGCACCUGAGACUAGCAAUUGCAGGGAAAGCCUUGUUUUAGCCUUCUUUAUCCUGGGGUCAGGAAGAAUGUUGGCUUAGCACGAACAGAAAAUGCUAUUGAUCAACUGCUACUAAGCAUACGCAAUCAGAAUUUUUCUCAAUUAUUAACAACUUGGCUACAUUUGAACAUUAUACCCCUCCACACACAUAGAUGCACUACGAAAGGGUUAUCCAUCACACAAAGGCUAUUCAGUGCGAAAUUUUACUUCCUUGCCUCAAGUUGUCAUACUGCCAGAAAUUAUUGACAGAACUGUAGUAAAUUUGUAGUAAAUAGUAUGACUGGCAAAUAAUAUAUUUUCUGCUGACUUUAUUAUUGGAAAAAACUGGACAAUCCAUGCUGACACCCUUUUGGAAACCAGACAUGAAAAAUUCCAUUCUCCACACUUAAAUUUUGCAAGAGUUAUGACUGAAAUGAAGGGUUUGUGUUGGGAAGAGCUUUGCAGCAUUAACAGCAUAGAGCCUUGACCAUUUGAUUCAUAAUUGCUUUUCUCAAAUUUUGAGCUGUGACUCACCAGUGCCCCUAACUUUCCAAGAGUCAGCAUCCCUGGCAAGUCACCAGGUAGUCUAUGAUACUAGUAUGAAGACAGUACUGCUGAAAACAUGUGAAAGUAUAUAAUGAUAAAAUUAAAAGUAGAAAUGCAUUUUCUGUGCAAUUUCCACAAUAUGUGUAGUGAAAUCUUUCAGUUUGCUCAUAUCUCUGGAAAGAGCAGUAAUAGUGAAUCAGAUGUGAUUUUUCUUACUGAACAUAUGAUGGGGUCAUCAUAUGUUAUUUGCAGUUGAUAAGUUUCAGUUGUAGAAUCAAUGUAUUUACAGAUUUGUUUCAUUUUAAUGAUGUUAAUUUGAGGUGAGAACCACACAGACUAUAAGAUCAUUAACACUGGUCCUGUCCUCAUUUGAAAAAAAUCAGUAUGUAUUUCUUUGGUCAAAUAAUUUGUGGAGAGAGAAUAGAGGGAAUACUGUGUAAGUGUGGUACAAGUGCUGUUUCUUUGACUUUGCUCAAAGAAACAUCAAGUGAAAUGACACUCUAACUUACCUUGCAAGCUUAUUAUUAUGGUAGAAUUUGCUUUAAAUAGCCAAAGAUCCCAAUGAUUGGAGGUGGUUCUUCAGCUUCAGGUAAAGACAAUAAUUGAUAGAAUCAGUGCAGGAUUAUUUUAACAGCAUGGGGUUAAAAUGUGUGUAUUUUUACAUCUUUGGGAAUUGUCAAUCAUUUUGUACCUGUUUAUUUCACAGUCAGAUUCCAAUUACAGCCUACUGCUAGGAAACCUGGCAAUAAAAUUUGGAAAAUACAGCUUGAAAGAGGUUAUUAUGUACUGAGGUAUCAUCAGAAUAGUUGGUAUGUCUUUAGGAGGGGACAGGGGAGAGCAACACAAGUAGGUUGUUAUUCUUCUCACUUUCUAGGCAUGACCCAAAGAACUUCUCACAACUGGGAAGAUUACACCAAUGAAUUGCAGAAAGCAGAUUUGCACUCUGAGCACAUUCAUGCCUUGACUGUGGGUGUCGUGGUGAAAUAAAAAAAGAAGCCAGAUUGUUAUGAUAAUACCAAAUUGACAGGACAAGAUGUAACUAGAAGGGCCAACACCCUGAGGCACGUUUCAUCAACUUGGAACUCAAAAAUUUUAUCAUAGUAGGGUUCCUGUUUCUCACUUCUUGUUUACAAGCAGAACCCCAAAUAGACAAGAAAAAGCAUCAGCUGAAUCUGAAAGUUAAUGAAUACCUGGACGUCUUUACAGAGAUAGUUUUGCACAUAGUGCUGCAGACAAGUGCUUUUCAGAAGUGCCUCACAUCCUACUCCUACCAAUUUGAGUGGAGAUAUGGCAGCUGGCCUACUGCAACAUCUCUAAAAUUCCAUGCAAAUGAACUGUUUUAUUAGGCACCAAAUACUUUUGGAAAUCAGGCCCAUGAUGACCAGAAGCAAUCUGUCAGUUCACUAACAAGAGUUAGUAUUUCUUUUGUGUAAUAUAUUAGUUUUAAAGCAAAGCAUAGUUUAAAAACUUGUGUUGUUUUUUUUUUCAUCUGUAGACAACAGAUAAAGGGCCAUUGAUGUUACCUGCAGAAACUACUUUAACAAGCUCUUCUUGUGCAUUCUUAAACUUCUAGUCCUGUCACCUGAGCAGUGGCUCAUAGAAAAAUUCAAGAUAAAAAUUACAACCCAAAAACAUGUCUGUUGAUGGUGAAUGCAGUUAAAUCCAGCUGGCAACUGAUCACGAAUGGAGUUCUCCAUGGGUUGGAAUUGGAGUCUGUCCUGUUCAUUAUCUUUAUUGAUGACCUGGACAAGGGUUAAGUGCAUCCUCAGUAGGUUUGCAGAUGAUAUCAAGUUGGCAGAAAAUGUCAGUCUGCCAGGGGGUAGAAAGGCCCUACAGAGGGAUCUGGACAGUCUAGAUUGCUGGGGGAAGGCCAGUGGGAUGAAGUUCAACAAGAUCAAGUGCUGGGUCCUGCACUUUGGUCAAAACAUCCCCAGGCAAUGCAACAGGCUUGGGGCAGAGCAGCUGGAAGACUGUGUGGAAGAAAUGGACCUGGAGGCAUUGGUCAAUGCUCAGCUAA